CAUGCAUCGGUGGGGUCCCUCGGCCUGGUCUGUGGGGAUUUGCCAAUCUGACAUCCUCCAACGGGUUCUGGAUUACGGGAGGGUGCAGGCCAGGCUGAGGGACCUCACCAGUGCACA
rnacentral:pre_miRNA from 1 species